GACGGAGGGUGCAAGCGUUGUUCGGAAUCACUGGGCGUAAAGCGCGUGUAGGCGGUCUGAUAAGUCGAGUGUGAAAGCCCGAGGCUCAACCUCGGAAGUGCAUUCGAAACUGUCAGGCUUGAGUACGGGAGAGGGAAGUGGAAUUCCUGGUGUAGAGGUGAAAUUCGUAGAUAUCAGGAGGAACACCGGUGGCGAAGGCGGCUUCCUGGACCGAUACUGACGCUGAGACGCGAAAGCGUGGGGAGCAAACAGGAUUAG
rnacentral:rRNA from 1 species